AUGAUGUGAUUGGAGCUGGUUUUCAGGAGCCUUUUGGAGUCUCAGGACACAGCCUCUGAAACACCGCCUUCGCAUUUCCAUUCAGGGAAAUGGGACAUGACACUUUUGGACGAGCUGUUGCACCUCCUUGCCAUGGUACCCAGGAGACAGACAGAAAAAUUGUGAAUGAAGAAGGAGUCAAAAGAAGAAAAGAAAGUCAGAUGUAAUCUUGUUCCCUCUCCUUAAAGACAGCCUCACCAUUUUUGAUGUAUUUCUGUUUAGGUUUUUGGCAUAUAUUUUUAAAAAGUGUGACCAUACUCUA